CUCAUUAAUUCAAAACUCUGAGCUGCAUUAUUAUUUGGUAUAUUUUGAAGUGAAGGAAGUGAAUUGAGGAGAAAGGGUAGUGAAAGUAUUGUUUAUGAUCCAUUCUCAGUGCUCUCUUUGAAGCUUUUUUCGGAGUCUCUGGCUACUUUAGUUGUCCUCAUAGUGUGGUCAGUGUUGCUCGGUAUUACGAUUUGGAACGGUGGAACGUAAAGGCAAAUCACAGCUUAACGAGGCACCAGUUCUACAUUUCCGGUGUAGAGAACAAUCGUUUGAACCGAUCCGUUUAAGAUUCUGAACUGUUUGUAGAACGUUGAGACCCCGCUUAGAAGGAGAACCCUAGCCCAUAUCUGAGAACGUUCGAUCACCUUUAAGAGGAUGUAGUCCCACCUUGUAGAAGAUAACCAGGCUCCAAGGAUGGAUUGGUCCAGCGUUGUAGUACAAGGGAUUCGUUUUGUAUGGAGACACGGUGUUCGACACGUGACUUACAUAGUCUGUUAUAAGCAAAGUGUUCAUGAACUGAAGGAUAGUGUUAAGGAUCUAGAAAAUGAAAAAGACAAGAUAGAUCAUCAAUGUGAUGAGGCUUAUAAAAAUCUAAAAAACAUUGAAGGUAAGGUUAUUGAAUGGAGUCGAAAAGUGAGUGAAAUUAAGACUAUAGUGGAGGAGUUUGAGAAUGAUGAUGGCCACAAAAGGGCCAGAUCACUCAAUUGUUAUGUUUUUUCGUACUUGUGGAAUAGACACAGGUUAGGAAGACAAGCAAAGAAGAUGGAAGUGGGUGUUAAACAGCUAAUUAAUGAGUCCCCUGGGUUAGAUGAAAUUUCCUAUAGGGAAAAUGUAACAUCUAAUGAUACCACAUUGUCUAAUUCUGGCUUUGAAGAAUUCAGUUCUACAAAAUCCACAAUGGAAAAAGUAAUGAGACAACUUGAAAAUUCCAGUGUGAGAAUGAUUGGAUUGUAUGGGGAAGGAGGUGUGGGUAAGAGUGCUUUAAUCAAAGAAAUUGCAAGGAUAGCUAAAGACAAGUUGUUUAAUGUGGUGGUUAAAGUAGAAAUAACAGCGAAUCCCAAUCUGCAGAGCAUCCAGGAAGAAAUUGCUUAUAUGUUACAACUGCAAUUGGAAGGGGAAGGGGAAAAUGUGAGAGCUGAUUGUCUACGGAGGAGGUUAAAGAAAGAAAAAGGAAACACCCUUUUAAUCUUGGAUGACCUUUGGCAUAAAUUAGAUCUAAACAAGUUAGGGAUUCCAAGUGAUGAUAAUGAUGAUUUAAGUAAUGAUACGAGGGGUCUUAAUGAUAAAUUCUUGAAAAAGGACAAAAAUAACAUGGAUCAUCAUAAGACAGUAUUGAAAAGAGAAAAAAUCAUUGGCGGUCAUAAGGAGUGCAAAAUUUUGCUCACUGCACGUCAAAAAAGAGUAUUAGAAAUUGAAAUGGAUGUAAAAUCGACUUUCCGUGUAGAGCCAUUAGAUGACAAGGAUGCUUUGAUGUUUUUUCAGAAGUUGUCUGGAAUACAUAACAUGUCAGACUCUAGAAAAGAAAUUGUGACGAAGUAUUGUGCAGGGUUACCAAUGGCAAUAGUAACAGUUGCAAAGGCAUUAAAAGGUAAGAGUGAGUUAGUAUGGGAAGCAGCACUUGAAAAACUUAAAAAGCAGGAAUUGGUGGGAGUUCAAACAUAUAUGGACAUUUCAGUGAAGAUGAGUUAUGAGCAUCUAGAAAAUGAGGAGAUCAAAUCCAUUUUCUUACUUUGUGCUCAAAUGGGCCAUCAACCACUGAUUAUGGACUUGGUGAAGUGUUGUUUUGGUUUGGGUAUACUUGAAGGGGUCUCCUCACUUUGGGAAGCUCGAGACAAAAUCAAGAUAACAAUCCAAAAGCUAAAAGACUCGGGCUUACUAUUGGAUGGAAAUUCUGAUAUUCAUUUCAAUAUGCAUGAUAUAGUUCGAGAUGCUGCUUUGUCUAUAGCAAACAAGGACAAAAAUGUUUUUACUUUAAGAAAUGGAAAAGUAGAUGAGUGGCCUGAACUCAGGAGAUGCACUUCUAUUUCUAUAUGCAAUUGUGAUAUCAUUGACGAGCUUCCUACAGUCAAAUGUUCUCGACUUAAUUUUUUUCAAAUAGACACUAAUAAUCAAUCUUUGACAAUACCUGAGAAGUUUUUUGAAGGAAUGAAAAAUCUCAAAGUUUUAAUAUUGACCGGUUUUCAUCUAAAAAGAUUUCCACCUUCGAUCAAAAGCUUAUUAAAGCUCAGAAUGCUUUGUUUGGAACGGUGCACUUUAGAGGACAACUUAUCCAUAGGAGAGCUAAAAAAGUUAAGAAUUCUUAGCUUCUCUGGAUCCCAACUUAAAAGUUUGCCAACUGAAUUGGGGUGCUUGGAUAAGUUACAACUGUUAGACAUCAAUGAUUGUUCUAUACUAGAGAUUAACAUUCCACCUAAUAUUUUAUCAAGUUUGACACAUUUAGAAGAGUUGUAUAUAAGGAAAAGCUUGACCAAAAUGUUGGUGGAAGGAGAGCCAAGCCAUGGUCAAAAUUCGAUUCUUUGUGAGCUGAAGAAUUUGCAUCAGUUAAAAGUUGUGGACUUAAGCAUCCCAUGUUUUUCACUUUUGCCUAAUCACUUGUUCUUUGCCAAGUUAAAAGAUUACCAAAUUGUUGUUGGAGACGUGGAAAUGUUUUCUAUUAUAGGCUUUAAGAUGUUUGAUAAGUACGAAACGUUCAGAGUUUUGGCAUUACAACUGAAUCAUGACACUAACAUUCACUUCCAAGAAGACAUAAAAUUGUUGUUUAAAACAGUACAAAGUUUGUUAUUGGGAAAGGUAGAUGAUGUUGUUGAAGCUGUUAAUAAGUUGAAUAUGGAUGGAUUUCCAGAUCUGAAACACUUAUCCAUCAUAGAUAGCAAUGCCAUCAAAUAUGUCAAUUCAAUGGAAUUGUCUAAUUGUAUAAAUGCUUUUCCCAAUUUGGAAUCUCUAUGCCUUUACAAUCUGAAGAACUUGGAAAUGAUAUCUAAUGGUCCACUUACAGUUGCUUCAUUCGCCAAAUUAAAGUCCAUCAAGGUGAAUAUGUGUGAUCGAUUGGUGAGUCUCUACUCCGUUUACAUGGUGGAAUUUGCUAAUAGUGAAGUACCAUGUAAGAUUUGUAAAUAUAAUUCUUACUUGGAUAAAUUUUGUGCUAGCCUAAAAACAAUCGAGGUUUCUGAAUGUGAAUCUUUAAAGGAAAUCUUUCGAAUACCAAAGAAAUGUUAUAAGGUUAAGUUUCUAAAGUUGCAGACUUUGACAUUCCAAAAGUUACCAUCAUUAACAUGUUUUUAUACCAAAGUGGAGAAGUCUUGCUGGCUACAUCCGACAAAGCCUCAAACUAAAAGUAGUGGUAGUGAAGAAGAUCAAAAAAGUUACCAGGCACCUCCACUUUUUGGUGAACAAGUUGAAAUUCCAAACUUAGAGAGCUUGAAUUUAUGCUCACUCAACAUCCAUAAGAUAUGGAGCGAUCAACUCUCGUCAAGUUUCUGCUUUCAAAACUUGAUAAAACUAGUUGUGAAAGAGUGUGAUAAAUUGACAUACUUAUGUUCGUUGUCUGUGGCUAGUAGUUUAAAGAAGCUGAAAAGCCUUAUCAUAAGUGAAUGUCCAAUUAUGGAGAAGAUUUUUGAGACAAAUGAAAAUAAUGCAGAUAAGGUUUGCGUCUUCCCUAAGUUGGAGGAAAUCCACCUUAGCAAAAUGAGGAGACUAAGAGAUAUAUGGCAUACUAAAGUGAACAUUGAUUCUUUUUCUAGUCUCAUUUCGGCGAACAUUGAUGAGUGCAAUAAACUAGACAUGAUUUUUCCAAGUAACAUGGAAGGAUGGUUUGAAAGUUUGAUUAACUUGAAAAUUUCUAGAUGCAAGUCCGUGAAAGAAAUUUUUGAAGUUAGAGAUUCUAAAGAAAUAGAUGUAUCUGGUGGGAUAGACACAAAUCUGCAGGUUAUUCUUCUUGAAAACCUCCCGAAAUUGAAGGAAUUGUGGAGCAAAGAUCCUCAUGGAAUUCUCAAUUUUAAAAAACUUCGGACUAUAGAUGUAAGUUAUUGUGAUGAAUUGAAGAAUUUGUUUCCAGCUUCUAUGGUAAAAGAUGUAUCAAAGCUUGAACAUAUGUCAAUAUUACAUUGUGAGAGGAUGAAGGAAAUUGUUUCAAGUAAAGAUGCAUCAGAAGCUAACAAUGAUCCAUUAGAGUUUCCUGAACUAACCUAUGUGAGAUUGUAUUCACUACCGAAUAUCAAACAUUUCUAUAAGGGGAGACAUAUGAUAAAGUGUCCAAAAUUGAAGGAGUUAGCUGUGAACCGCUAUUUGAAGCUUAAAGCAUUUUCCAAAGAAAUCGUUAAAACAACAGAGGAAGAAGAAAGUUUUGUUUUCUCAGCUCAAAAGGUAUUCCCCAACUUGGAGUAUAUGGAAAUUGACUUCGAGGAAGCACAAAAUUUGUUACCCAAGUAUCAAAUGCACCGUCUAAAAGAACUUAAUUUGAUUUCAGUAGAAAGUGUUGAUUUUCUUAACCAGUUUCCAUACAGAAUGCCAAAUCUUGAAAAGCUAAAAUUGGCUUUUCCUUACUCGUCCAAAGUGUUAAAUCCAAGAGCAAAUUUAGCACAGCAAGAAGGAUUGGUAAUCGCAUUAGAGCUGAAGGAGUUAGUUGUGAUGUAUUCAGGGAUAACGGAUCUAGGAUUUCCAAUUCUAGGAAGACUAGAGGUUUUAAGCUUAAUUGGGUGCGACAAAUUGAGCAAUUUAGAUCCUCCCUCUUUAUCUUUUACAUACUUGACAUGUUUGAAACUGACCAAUUGUUCGGGAUUAAGGAACUUAAUGACAUUCUCCACCGCCAAAAACAUGGUUCAACUCAAGACUCUGAAGGUAAUCCGUUGUUCUAAUGUAGAGGAAAUAGUAAGCAAUGAGCUGAGUGAAGAAGGCAUAGAGAUGAAAAUUGAAUUUAGCAAAUUGAUUACCAUAGAACUUGUGAAACUAGACAACCUUGCAAGUUUUUGCAGUUGCAAGCACUCUGAAUUUGAAUUUCCAUCACUGGAAAUAUUGAUUGUAAGAGAAUGCUGUAAGAUGGAGAAAUUCAGUGAAAGAGAUCCAAUAACACCAAAGUUAAAAAAUAUAUUUGGUGUGGAAGGAGAUGAAAAAGCCAAAUGGCUCUGGGAAGGCAACUUGAAUGACACCAUACAUAAAAUUUUCACCGAUAAGGUCUAUUUCACAUACAGUGACGAUCUUUGGCUUGACAGUAGUACUGAAUAUAUUAUAGAGCAACUAUGGCAUGGCAGUGAUUGGAUGCAGCAAAAUUGCUUUGAUUAUUUGAAAACGUUGACUAUAUUCGGAUGUGAUAGUGUAGUGCAUGUAAUUCCAUCUCAUUUGCUUUCUUGCUUUCACAAUUUGGAAGAAUUAGAAGUAGUGAAUUGUGCAGCAGCACAGGUCAUUUUUAAUAUCGGCGAUGAGAACAGGGUGAUGACAAAACCUUCAGGAAUAUUCCGUCCGAAAAAAUUGUUUUUAGAUCUCCUACCAAAACUGGAGCAUGUAUGGGACAAGGAUCCGGAGGGAAUCAUUGGCCUUCAACUGCUAAAGAAAAUGAGUGUUAGAAGUUGUGAGUGUCUUAAAAGUUUGUUUCCAGCAUCGGUAGCCAAAGAUCUUGCAAGACUUGAAGUGCUUGAGGUAAAUGACUGUCGGGAAUUGGCAGAAAUAGUUAAGGAUGAAAAGGAUGAGGAAGGAGAAGGAACAACACAUGAGUCUGUGUUUCCUUGUCUCACCACGUUGAUUCUAGAAGAAUUGCAAGACCUCAAAUAUUCUAUCCACUCCAAACAACAGGUGAGUACAUCAAAUUUGAGUGAGAGAGAUAUUCAAGAGUUAUGUCUUGGCUCACGGUGCAUUCCAAACUCCUACUUCAGUCUCUUGGAAUCACUAAUUCUGGAUGGUUGCCAGUUUUUAUCAGAUGUACUGCUACCGUUCAAUUUACUUCCUUUCUUAACUAAUUUAGAAACGUUGGAAGUUCGAUACUGUGAUUCUGUUAAAACCAUCUUUGAUGUUAAAUGUACAACACAAGACAGAGAAGUGGCAUCUAUGGGACCAACCCUUCCUUUUUCCUUGAACAAAUUGACUUUAUUCAACCUGCCAAAACUGGAGAAUGUUUGCAAUGAAGAUCAUUGUUCUCCCUUUGUGAGAUCAUUGGAUGUUCAGCGUGUGCCCAACUUGAAGUAUUUUUACUACAGCUCACAGUAUUGUGAAAUUUUUACAGAUCUAGAAUCACAUGCCGAGAAUCAAGUCGGUACUGAAAAGUUAUUCAAGUGUUUGUCACUGUGGGAAAAUGGAGUAAAUAUGAUUUUGCGAGGGGAAUUUGAGAGAAACCUCUUAGACAGUUUAAAAGCUCUUACUCUCUGCUUUGGUUCGGAUGUAUUUCGAUGUAAAAUUCUUGAACAGGUUCCGAAUAUAGAGAAACUUGAGGUGCGUGAUUGUUCCUUCAAGCAGAUGUUCUGUUGUGAAAGUCUUAAUAAUGUGCUACAGAAGCUGAAAGUAUUACGGUUGGAGUCCCUCAGAGAGAUGGUUUCCAUUGGGCUAGAGAAGUCUUGGAGUGAUUCCUUUGUCAGAAACUUAGAAAUCUUUGAAGUCAUUAAUUGUAGGAGUUUAAAAAACUUGGUAGCGUGCACAGUGUCUUUCUCCAAUCUGACGUGUUUGAAAGUAAAUGAUUGCGGUAGCUUAUCAUAUUUGUUAACAUCCUCAACAGCGAAGCGUUUGGGUAAACUCAAAAGAAUGGAGAUAAAGGAUUGUUCUUCAAUUGAAGAGAUAGUUUGUAAGGAAGAUGGGGAGGAAUCAGAUGAGGAUGAGAUAAUAUUUCCGCAGCUCACUUGUUUGAAUCUUGAUAAUUUAUUGAAUCUAAAAAGGUUCUACGGAGGGAGUUUAGGUUUCCCAUCCUUGGAGGAACUUUCAGUAACAUAUUGCAACAAAAUGAUAACUUUAGGUGUGGGUACUAUUGUGGCAGGCAAAUUGUGUCAAGUUAAAGUUGGUGAGUUCUCAGAUGCAAUUCAAUUGAAAACCGAGCUCAACUCUACUACGAGGAAAGAAUAUCUGAAAAAGAUUGCAUCGAAAUGGAGUCUUGAAUUGACAGAAAGGGCAGACCUAGAAGAGAUAUGGUGUCUCUCACUGCAGAUACCCCACUUUUCUUUCACUGACUUGAAAACCUUGAUUGUCAAUAAAUGCAAAAUUCCAUCUGACGCAGUGCUACCUUUCACUUUACUUCCUUUAUUACCUAAAUUAGAAACAUUGAAAGUUCAAAACUGUGAUUCUGUGAAAAUCAUAUUUGAUAUCAAAUGUACAACACAAGAUACAACUACUUUUUCUCUAAAGAAAUUAGUGUUACGGAAGCUGCCAAAUCUGGAAACAGUUUGUAGUGAAGUUAAAGAGGCUAAUCCAGCUCAUCCAGAAGGAAGAAAUCCUAAGCUUAUCCUCCCCUGUGUGACGUCAUUGGCACUAUCGGAUUUGCCCAACUUUGAACAUAAUAGUAUACAUUACAUUCAUGAUGAUGCAGCACCAACAUUUGAGUUGCAGCUAAUUAUACCCAACUUAGAGCAUCUGACAGUGGGUAAAAAUGAAUUAAAGAAGAUUGUGGACGGAGAAUUUCAGAGAAAUCUUUUACACAAAUUAAAAGUUCUCGGUCUGUGCUUUGAUAUUGAGUGUGAUGAAUUUCCGGAGUAUGGAUUUCUACAACAGUUGCCAAAUGUAAAGAAGCUUGUGGUGUGGAGUAGUUCAUUCAAGGUUAUUUUCUGCCAUCAAAGACCUAAUAAUAAUGAACUUCUAUUACAGCUGAAUGAAUUACGGUUGGAGUCCCUUGGAGAGCUAGUUUCCGUUGGAUUAGAGAACUCAUGGACUGAGUCCUUUGUCAGAAAUCUAGAAACUUUUGAAGUCAUUAGAUGUUCCCGUUUGGAAAACUUGGUAACAUGCACAAUGUCUUUCUCAAACCUGACAUGUUUAAAUGUAGAAAAUUGUGAUGGCUUAUCAUAUUUGUUCACAUCCUCAACAGCCAAAAGUUUGGGUCAACUUCAAAGAAUGGAGAUAAAACAGUGUAAAUCAAUUAAAGAAAUAGUAUCGAAAGAAAGCGAGGAAUCAGAUGAGGAUGAGAUAAUAUUUUCGCAGCUCAGUUGUUUAAAACUUGAUAAGUUAUUGAAUCUCCAAUGGUUUUACAGAGGCAGUUUAAGUUUCCCAUCCUUACAACAAUUAUCAGUGACAUUAUGUACAGAGAUGGUAACUUUAUGUCCAAGUACGCUAAAAGCAGAAAAGUUGUCUCAAGCAACAAUUGGAAACAAAGACGUUAUUCUAGUGGAAACUGAUCUCUACACUACUAUGCAGAAGGAAUUUGGGAGAAAGGUGCAGACGCAAAGGCAAUCGGUGAUUGAUCUAAAAAGUAGACGAGGACUACAUGAGAUAUGGCGUGGCUCACUGUCUAUACCCAACUUCUGUUUCAGUGGGUUGGUCACAUUGAUUGUGGAAGACUGCCCGUUUUUAUCAGAUGCAGUGCUACCUUUCCAUUUACUUUCUUUAUUACCCAAAUUAAAAACAUUAGAAGUUCGAAACUGUGAUUAUGUCAAAACCAUAUUUGAUGUCAAAUGUACUACAAAAGCCACAUCAAUUACUUUUCCUCUCCAGAAAUUGGUUUUAUCGAAGUUGACAAAUCUGAAGAACGUUUGGAAUGAAGAUCCUCGUGGAAUUCUAGGCAUGCCCAGUCUAGAAAAAGUGUUUGUCGAUACAUGCAAAUGCCUUAAAGGCGUGUUUCCAGCAUCAAUAGCCAAAGAGCUUGUGAAACUUGAAGAUCUGGUAGUGGAAGACUGUGAGGGAUUGAUGGCAAUUAUUGCAGAUGAAUCUCAUGAGAAUCAAGAAACUAUAUUUGAGCGACUUCGGGUUUUGGAUCUUAAAAGAUUAAAAGAACUGACGUGCUUUUGCGUUGGCAACUUCACUUUAAGUUUUCCAUCUUUAGAGGAAGUCCACGUCAUCAAGUGCAGUUCCAUGAAAACUUUCAGUGCGGUCACCAAAAUAGAUAAUCCGACAAAGUGGUAUUAUUCAGAAUAUGAGAGACCCCGAAAGGAAACUGACCUUAAUUCCGCUCUGCACAGAAAUUUUGAAGAAGAGGCUCCCGAUGCUUCUAGGGCCAUCAUUUCAGUUCUUUAAUAGUUCAGAUUCAGAUAUUGAUGGAGACAAUGAACACGAUGAUGAUUAAUUAGAAGCAGUUUUUCACAGCAUAACAUGAUGGUUACGUAAGAUUAGUAAUUAAGAGGAGAUUGAAGGCAUAAAGAAUGGAUGAAAAUGAAGAAGAAAUACAUUAUUAUUUGUAUUAUAUACUGUGUGAGAUUAAAAGUGAUGAACAGUCAUGAAUUUGAUUAAGAGUGAAGUGACGAACUGUGUCACUAAAUAUAUUGACUAUUUGCAUGUGCUUAUGCUGGUUUAAAAACACAAAUGUAAGAUUAUAUUCAUUUUCUGUUAAUUUUAUCUUCACGUGA